GGGUGUAUCUGUUCAUACAGAGGAAAAUAAUAAAACAGAAAACGGAAAGCAUUCAUAAUGCCACCAUCCAGAGUCAACCAGUGCGUGCUAGCAUAUAUCCUUCUGCGUGCGUGCGUGUGUGUGUGUGUGUGUGUAAACAGCUUCAUUGAGAUUAUCAUUCACACAUGUCAUACAAUUUGAUAGCCACGUGGAAAACAUCAAAUUAGAUCCAUUCCUUACAUUAGGCACCAGGGUAAAAGCUUUUGGAUUAAGCAUCAAAUGGAUCAAAAGCUCAAUGUAAAAAUGAAACCAUACAAAUAAUGCAAAAAACAGAGAGUGGAAUACGUUAUAACGUAGAAAAGACAAAAUCUUUUCUAAUUGUAACUCAUAAAAUCCCUAACUUAUAAAGGUAAUAAAAUAUUAACAAAUUUGGUUCUGUAGCGUUAUAAAAACAUCCUAAGUAAAAUAUCCUAGUAAAAUCAAAAGGCAAAUGAAAACCUGGGAGAAGGAAUUGCAAAUUGUAUCACAGACAGUCAAGGUUAGUUAACAAUCAAGAUUAAUGAAUUGUUAAUAUCCUUAACAAUUAAAGAAUUUCUCAGAAGAAAAAGCCUAAUAACCUGAUAGAAAAAUGGGCAAAAUAUGAACAGACAUUUCACAGAAAAAACGAAGCAAAUGAAACUAGUGAAAAUAUGUUUACUAUUGUUUUCCUAAUAACAGAAUUGCAAACUUAAAAUAUGUACACUAUGGUACCAUUUCUUAUCUUUCAUAUAGGCAAAAGUCCAAAAGUUGGACAAUAUAGUCUAUUGGUGAGGCUUUGGGGAAACAUUCUCCCCUAUUGCUGAUGGGGAUUCAAAAUCACACAAUCUCUUUGGAGAAGGAUUUUGUAAUGUCCAGCAAAAUUACAUGUGUCCUUGCCCUUUGACCCAGCAACCACAGUUCUAGGAGUCAAUUGCAAACUUAACUACCAGAAAUGUGAAGUGGCAUAUGCUCCAGUUAUUCAUUGCAGCACUAUUUGUAAUAGCAAAAACUGAAAACAACCCAAAUGUCCAUUAGUAGGCCACUGGUUGAAUUCAUUAAGGAGUAUGCACACAGUGAAUUGUUGUGCAGCAAUAAAAGGAAGGAGGAUAGAUGGCCUCCAGAGUAUAGUGGUAAGUAAGAAAUACAAGGUCAGAAGAGUAAAUACGGUAUGCUAGCUUUUUUUGUUGUUGUUAGAAAGGGAGGAGGGGCCUGGCACAGUGGCUCAUGCCUGUAAUCCCAGCACUUUGGGAAGCUGAGGCAGGCAGAAUACCUGAGGUCAGGUGUUUGAGACCAGCCUAGCCAACAUGGCGAAACCCCAUCUCUACUACAAAUACAAAAAUUAGACAGGCAUGGUGGCAGGCACCUGUAGACCCAGCUACUCAGGGGCUGAGGCAAGAGAAUCACUUGAACCCGGGAGGCAGAGGUUGCAGUGAGCUGAGAUCGCACCACUGCACACUAGCCUGGGCAACAAAGCAAGACUCUGUCUCAAAAAAAAAAAAAAAAA
rnacentral:lncRNA from 1 species